rnacentral:rRNA from 1 species
UACGUAGGGUGCGAGCGUUGUCCGGAAUUAUUGGGCGUAAAGGGCUCGUAGGCGGUUUGUCGCGUCGGGAGUGAAAACCCAGGGCUUAACCCUGGGCUGGCUUCCGAUACGGGCAGACUAGAGGUAUGCAGGGGAGAACGGAAUUCCUGGUGUAGCGGUGAAAUGCGCAGAUAUCAGGAGGAACACCGGUGGCGAAGGCGGCUUGCUGGGCCUUACCUGACGCUGAGGAGCGAAAGCGUGGGGAGCGAACAGG